rnacentral:rRNA from 1 species
UACGGGGGGAGCAAGCGUUGUUCGGAUUUACUGGGCGUAAAGGGCGCGUAGGCGGCCACCGCAAGUCAAUUGUGAAAUCUCCGGGCUUAACUCGGAAAGGUCAACUGAUACUGCGGGGCUAGAGUGCGGAAGGGGCAACUGGAAUUCUCGGUGUAGCGGUGAAAUGCGUAGAUAUCGAGAGGAACACCUAUGGCGAAGGCAGCUCGCUGGGACGUUACUGACGCUGAGACGCGAAAGCGUGGGGAGCAAACAGG